rnacentral:rRNA from 1 species
AGCAGCCGCGGUAAUUCCAGCCCCAAUAGCGUAUAUUAAAGUUGUUGCAGUUAAAAAGCUCGUAGUUGAAUUUCGGGAUCAAUAUGUUGGUCGUGCCUUGGUACGUACCGGCAUUAUCGAUUCCUACCUUAUGAAGAACCUCGAUGUCAUUAAUUUGGUGUCUUGGGGAAUCAGGACUGUUACUUUAGAAAAAUUAGAGUGUUUAAAGCAGGCUCGCGCUUGAAUACAUUAGCAUGGAAUAAUGAAAUAGGACGUUUGAUUCUAUUUUGUUGGUUUCUAGGAUCGACGUAAUGAUUAAUAGGGAUAGUUGGGGGCAUUAGUAUCCAAUUGUCAGAGGUGAAAUUCUUGGAUUUAUUGAAGACUAACUACUGCGAAAGCAUUUGCCAAGGAUGUUUUCAUUAAUCAAGAACGAAGUUAGGGGAUCGAAGACAAUCAGAUACCGUCGUAGUCUUAACCAUAAACUAUGCCGACUAGGGAUCGGGAUGAUGUUAAUUUUUAUGUAUCGUUUGGCACUUACGGG